AAUGAACGUUGGCGGCGUGGAUUAGGCAUGCAAGUCGUGCGGAAAGGCUCCUUCGGGAGUACUCGAGCGGCGUAAGGGAGAGUAACGCGUGGAUAUCUACCCCCUGGACUGGGAUAGCGGCGGGAAACUGCCGGUAAUACCAGAUAAUGUCUGCGGACCAAAGGUGUGAUUCCGCCGGGGGAUGAGUUCGCGUCCUAUUAGCUAGUUGGUAGGGUAAUGGCCUACCAAGGCAAAGAUGGGUACCGGGUGUGGGAGCAUGGCCCGGCUCACUGGGACUGAGACACUGCCCAGACACCUACGGGUGGCUGCGGUCGAGAAUCUUCGGCAAUGGGCGCAAGCCUGACCGAGCGACGCCGCGUGCGGGAUGAAGGCCUUCGGGUUGUAAACCGCUGUCAGAGGGGAGGAAAUGCGUGGGAGUUCUCUCUCACGUUUGACCUAUCCUCAGAGGAAGUACGGGCUAAGUUCGUGCCAGCAGCCGCAGUAAGAC
rnacentral:rRNA from 1 species